rnacentral:misc_RNA from 1 species
GAUGAAGAACGUAGCGAAAUGCGAUAAGUAAUGUGAAUUGCAGAAUUCAGUGAAUCAUCGAGUCUUUGAACGCACAUUGCGCCCCCUGGUAUUCCGGGGGGCAUGCCUGUCCGAGCGUCAUUGCUGCCCUCAAGCACGGCUUGUGUGUUGGGCCCCGUCCCCUCCCCCGGGGACGGGCCCGAAAGGCAGCGGCGGCACCGCGUCCGAUCCUCGAGCGUAUGGGGCUUUGUCACCCGCUCUGUAGGCCCGGCCGGCGCCAGCCGACACCCAACUUUUAUUUCUAAGGUUGACCUCGGAUCAGGUAGGGAUACCCGCUGAACUUAAGCAUAUCAAUAAGCGGAGGA